UCCUGUUGGUUGAUCAGACACCCACUUCCUGCGCAGGCUCAGAGUCAGCCCAGGGAGUACUGGUGCUGGGCUGGGAGAGGGGGCCAAAGCCUGGAGCGAGGAGCCCACCUAAGAUCAUGCAGUUGCUGGGGGGCAGAGCAAACAGAAGCCAGCAGAAGUCAGUGGGGAGGAGGGGGAGGUCUUCUGGUCCAACCUCCACACCAUGCACACAGAAAAGAAGCCAUAAAAACUCAGACCUCCCACAAUUACAGGGACAGGCCAGCCUGCAGACGCUGGACAGACGGGUGACAGGCAGUGGCCAUAAGGUCUCUAUUGCUCAACCUCAGGGACUCUUAUUCAGAGACCCUGGACAUUUCCCCAACAUCCCACUCCUUGUCUUAGUCACCCUCCCCAACACUCCCCUGUAAAAGUCCCUCUUACCCUCUCUCCAGGCCAGCCCCGCUUCCUGCAUUCCCAGAGUCAGGGUCAAGCCCGGGCUUUUGCUGGCCCUCAGCCCAGGAUCCAGCGACCAUACAACCAUGCUUGGUGUGUCCUAGACAGAGCCUGUCACCGGACCCCAGUUCUACUCACCACCCUGGGGUACCCAUCAGUGAGGGACGACAUCGCCUGCUCUGUGCCCCAGCCAGCUAGACACCUGUCCCCUGCCCCCUUCUCCGGACAACUUCUUGAUCCCAAGGCAUUCCUUCAUCUCUGAAAUAGACAUUCCCUGCUUCUUGCCCUUGGUCAGGUUCACCCCCCAUGGUUUCCCCGCAUCCCACCCAUCUUGAUGGGAACCUCCAGCAGUAGCCGGAGACCUCUUUUGGAUGCACAGUUCUUGAUUGAUGUCCUCAGAGGAAAGCCCAGACUCCUCCAUCUGGGGUUGAAGGCCCUUCUUAAUGUUGUGCUGGCUCCUGCCAUGAUCCCGCCAGUUCCAUUGGGUGCCAUUCUCCACACCAAUCAACUUCUGGGUCCCUCCUCAGGCCUCUGUCCCCCAGAUCCCUGCCCAAGGCUCUUUUUCCUCCUCUCUCUGCUCUCACUCCUCAAGGACCACAUCCCUCCAUGAUGUCCCCUAGAUAGUGGCACCGAGCCCUUCCCGUGCCCCCAGACCCCUCAAUGGUACCCCGUGCAGACCUUGACUACGUGCCUGUGACACUGAACACACAGCCCCCUCCCCAGCCUGUGAGCACCUCAGCCCAGAACCAGGUCUAACUGGGUUCAGGAAAAAAAGUAGAAGGAAGGAAGAGGGAAGAGGAGGAAGAAAGUGUGUACUCAAGCACCUCCUCCCCCAUGGUUUCCCCCAGACAGACCCCGUCACUGCCACCUAGGCCCUUGGCUUGCAUGUCUUUGUGGCACAAUUGUAGGUGGCUCAUGUCAACUACUCAUGUUCACACAGGCCCUGGAGCUGAAUGUGGGAGCUGAAGGCCCUUGAGGCUGCACUUGGAUUCACAGAUGGGAAAGCGGAGACUGGCGAGGAGCAGGCACUGCCGAGUGUCACACUGCAGACCAGAGCAUACAAGAUUCAAGACCGAAGCUCAAGUUCCUCUGAAGGGGACUCGAGUCCACUCUCUGAGUCUGCUGCCUCCAUCUAUGAGCAGGGCAGAGGCCUCCUGCUGGGCCUCUUGAUCCCAGAAGCACAUCAUGGGGGCAGCCUUUGUGGCAACCAGGCCAGAAGGAGCUCACUUACCAAGGGGACCCCCAAUCCACAGGCCCAUGAGCAGCAGCAGGGCCUAAGUGUGAUGGUCCCCAUGCCAAGGGUGACAGGGGGUGAGAGCAGAGAGGAGGUCAUUUAGAGGCUGCCUUUGAACUCACCAUCCUCCUGCAUAAGCGCUGGAGUCCCCGGGAUCACAGGCCUGCACCACCGCACCCAGCUCUAUCCUUGGAUCUUUAAAGCUCGCUGUAGCUCGGCUGGGCAGAGGUUGCCCUGGGAUUUGACAACCCCUGCUCUCAGCCUCCUCAGCUCUGCCACUCACCCACUUGGGAACUCGUGCAAGAGGUCUAACAUCCUGGUACCUCAGUUUCCUUCAGUUUCCUUCUCUGCGAAACGGAAGUAACGUCUAUGUUUGUUAGAUGGUAGGGUUGCUGGGAGAAUUAAAUCGUGCAGAAGAG